AGAGCGCAAGGGGAAUGCCUUGGCACUGGGAGCCGAUGAAGGACGCGACUAACUGCGAUAAGCUACGGGGAGCCGUAAGUAGGCAUUGAUCCGUAGAUUUCCGAAUGGAGCAAUCCGAUUAAAGUCAUGUUUAAUCAUCAUACACUGAAUACAUAGGUGUAUGAGGGGAACCGCCUGAACUGAAACAUCUAAGUAGGGCGAGGAAGAGAAAUCAACCGAGAUUCCGCUAGUAGUGGCGAGCGAACGCGGAGGAGGCCAAACCAAGAGUAGUAAUACUUUUGGGGUUUGGACAGCAAUGUGCAGGAUUAAGUUUAGCAGAAUGGCAUGGGAAGGCCAACGAAACAGUGUGAGAGUCACGUAUGCGAAAAGCGAAAUCCGCUAGCUGUAUCCAGAGUACCGCCGGACACGUGAAACCCGGUGGGAAUAUGGGGGGACCACCCUCCAAGCCUAAAUACUACCCAGUGACCGAUAGUGUAUAGUACUGUGAAGGAAAGGUGAAAAGGACCCCGGGAGGGGAGUGAAAAAGAACCUGAAACCUUGUGCUUACAAGCACCGAGAGCCCAUCAACGGGUGAUCGGGUACCUUUUGUAGAAUGGUCCGGCGAGUGAAUGUAACUGGCGAGGUUAAGGACUUAAGGUCCGGAGCCGUAGCGAGAGCAAGUCUGAAUAGGGCGUAUGAAGUCAGUUGUAUUCGACCCGAAACCGGGUGACCUACCCAUGUCCAGGUUGAAGUGGAGGUAAAACUCCAUGGAGGACCGAACCGACUCCCGUUGAAAUGGUAGCGGAUGAGGUGUGGGUAGCGGAGAAAUUCCAAUCGAACCCGGAGAUAGCUGGUUCUCUCCGAAAUAGUUUUAGGACUAGCCUCGUAUUAGAUUACCGGAGGUAAAGCACUGAAUGAGCUAGGGGCCGAGAGGUUACUGAACUCUAUCAAACUCAGAAUGCCGGAUAAUUGAUGUACGGGAGUCAGACAGUGUGAGAUAAGUUUCAUUGUCAAAAGGGAAACAGCCCAGACCCACAGCUAAGGUCCCAAAGUACGGUUAAGUGGAAAAGGAUGUGGGGUUGCACAGACAACCAGGAUGUUGGCUUAGAAGCAGCCACUCAUUAAAAGAGUGCGUAAUAGCUCACUGGUCGAGUGACCCUGCGCCGAAAAUUUAACGGGGCUAAAUCGUACACCGAAGCUUGGGAUGCAGUAAUGCAUGGUAGGAGAGCGUCGUAUAAGGGGUGAAGUCAGAGCGUAAGCGCUGGUGGACUUUAUACGAGUGAGAAUGCCGGAAUGAGUAGCGAGAAAUAUGUGAGAAUCAUAUUGGCCGAAAGUCUAAGGUUUUUGGAGGAAGGUUCGUCCGCUCCAAGUAAGCCGGGAGCUAAGGUGAGGCCGAAAGGCGUAGCCGAUGCACAUACGGUAGAUAUUCCGUAGCCGCCAAAAGAUUUAAGUAAGAGGACACCUUGAAAGGACUUGACCCGGGCGAUGGUUGCCCCGGGCGAAAGGGACCGAAAUUUAGUAGGGAAGCAAGUUUGGACAAGGGCGAGAAAAGUCUUAUGUAUAUCUUCGGCGCCCGUACCGCAAACCGACACAGGUAGAUAGGAAGAGAAUUCUAAGGCCAACGGGAGAAGGGUAGUUAAGGAACUCGGCAAAUUGACCCCGUAACUUAGGAAUAAGGGGUGCCACAGCGAUGUGGUCGCAGAGAAUAGGCCCAGGCAACUGUUUAUCAAAAACACAGGUCUCUGCCAAAUCGAAAGAUGAAGUAUAGGGGCUGACACCUGCCCGGUGCUGGAAGGUUAAGAGGAGAUGUGCAAGCAUUGAAUUGAAGCCCCAGUAAACGGCGGCCGUAACUAUAACGGUCCUAAGGUAGCGAAAUUCCUUGUCGGGUAAGUUCCGACCCGCACGAAUGGUGUAAUGAUCUGGACACUGUCUCAACAAUCCACCCGGCGAAAUUGUAGUACCGGUGAAGAUGCCGGUUACCCGCGGCAAGACGGAAAGACCCCAUGGAGCUUCACUGCAACUUGAUAUUGGGUUUCGGUAUUCUAUUUACAGGAUAGGCGGGAGACAUGGAAGCAAGCACGCCAGUGUUUGUGGAGUCAACCUUGGGAUACCGCUACUAGAGUAUUGGAAUUCUAACCUGCGGCCUUGAAUCAGGUCGGGGGACAUUGUCAGGUGGGCAGUUUGACUGGGGCGGUCGCCUCCAAAAGA
rnacentral:rRNA from 1 species